rnacentral:piRNA from 1 species
UUUGGGAUCUUUUUGUACAUACUGUACA